AUGUCCAGCUCUCUUAUUCCUCUACUGUCCACCGAUAGACUUCUGGACUCACUCAGCCUUGAAAGGACCACUUUUAAUCAGGCAGACAAGCAGCAGAGUGUCAAAAUUACUGCCAAGAGAAAGAACAUUAAGAGGCUUUCUUCAGAAGGAGAAAGAAGAAGAAAAUCAAUAUUCAAACACAAAAUGAAUCUGACUAGACUGUGAACUUCCCUACAAAUGGGGAAGGAAAUGGGAUAUGAAAGAUGACCUGCCAUAAAAACCGAUAUCCCACAAUACCAUCUGUCAGAGCUUAGGAAAUAAUGACAACAACUAAUGAAAGUUGAAGUUGGAUUCAGCAGAGGUUUAUAGCAACAGGGAAAAACUUGACAGCGGUGGCUCUGCUGACUCAGUGGAAUAACAAAGCCCUGAUUAGCUCUGUGCUACUUAAACACCAUGUGAGAAACAAUUGAUUUCACCAGAGCUAAUGGGGAACAUGAACAUUUUUAAGGCUGCGGGUAAUUAGACAAACUGGAAAUCUAUUUUUAUGUAGGCCCAUUUUGCAUUAUGACAUAAGAGUCAACAUUUCCCUAAUUUGACGCUGCAAUUGCAUUUAGAAUAAAAGAAACAAAAUGCCAAAUUCCAAGGUCAAGCCUACUAUAAAAAUGUAGAAAUCAGGCCAAAGUGAAGUUCGUUUGGAGUUCAUUUCGAGAGUCUGAAACAGCUUGUCAAAGUGCCGUCAGGAUGUUUAGUACACCACUGCUCAGAUAUUUUGAACUUCUUUUCACCCCCAAGCAAAGAACAAAAGGAACAUUGCGGUGAGUACAGUGGGAACUUAAGUUCUUGGUUGCAUUCAAACUACGGUAGGUAAACCCAUCCAUCCGCCCUGUCACAACAGUGAAUUUAAUCACCACCGUUUGAGAAAAAUACCAGAGUCUCCUGUCUGACAUUAUGCAGGCCAAGAUAAGGUGAUUCUGAGCAACGGUCUUCACUAAAAGCUCUAUAUUUCAUUUUCCAGCUGUAUGUAAAGUCAAUGGCCUCUAAAAUAAACUGUCAAUCCACUACAACCUCCUUUGUCACACUGCAGUGAACACAAAUCUCUUCUCUCUUUUAUUUGUGUUGUUUUCUGCCUUUCUUCAGAUGGAAGAUAACUAAAGCACCUCACAUGACCCCUCUUCCUCCUCACCUUCCUCUCAGCCACCAUCAGAACAGCAGAUUUCAAAAUUGAUCCAUGUCAUCCAGUCAAUUUCCAUUUCAAUCUAUUUUUACAACUCGUGGAAGGAAGGCCAUUUGCACCAGGGACUCACUCGUGUGUUUCACUCUGAAUGAUGAUAAAUUGAAGGGCUGCGGUGAAUAACGAUAAAACUGAUUUUAUAAGUUAUCAUUCUGUUCACAUUGGCUUUCCUGUAAUGCUGUCAGGAUGAAUCAUGGCUUUCCACAGAGUCACGUGUGGCAUAAACUUGAUUAAAUCUGCAUAUUAGAUAUUAAAUAUUUGUGAUUCCAAAUCGGCUUUUGCGAUGUUGAGGGAAAACACAGAUGCUUAGUUGCAUGCAAAGUUUAAAUUACUUUACCUGACGCCUUUACCAAGGAAUAAUCUCAUCUGUGCACAAGGUCAAGGGUAUAACAGAUUUUUUAAAUACACAUUUUCUAUGAAUAAUAAUAAUAAAACAAAAUAUGAUGGAUGAAUGUUUGCGCAAACCCAGUGUGUGCUCACACACCUGUUCAACAGAUUGAAAGACCUCCAUUACACAGAUCGGAAACACAUACUUUUAGAUUGCUUAUGAAAUAAAUAUUCAUCAAACCACCCCAG
ensembl:lncRNA